UUGUUUUAUAUUGUUUUGAAAGGAGAUUAUUUUAGCACGAUAUUUCCGCCUAGUUUUUAAAAAUAUAAAGGGUAGCCACAGGUAAGUUACAACAAUAACAGGGAGACAAUAUCUCAAACAAGAUGCAGCUUGUCUUCAGUUGUGUGCAUUUUGCUAGUUGUUUCGCGAACCGGUGCUCAGGAACAAUGUGCCGGAACGGAAGAUGGUGAAGUUUGUUUCUGUGGAACUGGAACCGGCGUCUGUGUGAAUGAAGAAUGUCAGUGUGAGAAUGCAGACAGAAGGAAAAGAAAUUUCGCUGGGUGGAUUUUGUGCUAGCGACUGGGACUGUUCGGGAUGGAACUGUAAAUGUAGAAGCAAUCGGUGUUGUUGUGGCUCGUGGUGCGGGCUCUGGUUUAAAUGAACUGAAUACAGGCGUUGAAGCGGAGAAGAGUAACCCAAUACAUUUGAAGAAAAAGCAAUUAAAACUAAAGAACAAUGAUGAGAAACACCCGUAAAGAAUUAUUUAAAAAUGAUACCUGCUUACAAUAAAAAUAAAACACAAAAUAAUA
rnacentral:lncRNA from 1 species